GUGCCAGCAGCCGCGGUAAUACGUAGGGGGCGAGCGUUGUCCGGAAUCAUUGGGCGUAAAGCGCGUGUAGGCGGCUUGAUAAGUCUGGUGUGAAAUCUUGGGGCUUAACCCCAAGCCUGCACUGGAUACUGUCAAGCUUGAGUCCGGGAGGGGAGAGCGGAAUUCCUAGUGUAGCGGUGAAAUGCGCAGAUAUUAGGAAGAACACCGGUGGCGAAGGCGGCUCUCUGGAACGGUACUGACGCUGAGACGCGAAAGCGUGGGGAGCGAACAGGAUUAGAAACCCGUGUAGUCC
rnacentral:rRNA from 1 species